rnacentral:tRNA from 1 species
UCCCUGGUGGUUCAGUGGUUAAGACUCCCUGCUACCAAUGCAGGGGUCCUGGGUUCCAUCCCUGGUCAGGGAA